GAUGAACGUUGGCGGCGUGCCUAACACAUGCAAGUCGAACGCUGGUAGCAAUAUCAGAGUGGCGCACGGGUGAGUAACACGUAGCUUACCUACCUCAAAGCGCGGGAUAACGUUCCGAAAGGAAUGCUAAUACCGCAUAAGCUCGCGGUCUGUAGAGGGCUGAGAGAAAAGGGGCAACUCACUUUGAGAUGGGGCUGCGGCCCAUCAGCUGGUUGGUGAGGAACGGCUUACCAAGGCAACGACGGGUAGGGACCUGAGA
rnacentral:rRNA from 1 species